GAUUAAGUUAUUAAGGGCGCACGGUGGAUGCCUUGGCACUAGAAGCCGAUGAAGGACGUUACUAACGACGAUAUGCUUUGGGGAGCUGUAAGUAAGCUUUGAUCCAGAGAUUUCCGAAUGGGGAAACCCAGCAUGAGUUAUGUCAUGUUAUCGAUAUGUGAAUACAUAGCAUAUCAGAAGGCACACCCGGAGAACUGAAACAUCUUAGUACCCGGAGGAAGAGAAAGAAAAUUCGAUUCCCUUAGUAGCGGCGAGCGAAACGGGAAGAGCCCAAACCAACAAGCUUGCUUGUUGGGGUUGUAGGACACUCUAUACGGAGUUACAAAGGACGACAUUAGACGAAUCAUCUGGAAAGAUGAAUCAAAGAAGGUAAUAAUCCUGUAGUCGAAAAUGUUGUCUCUCUUGAGUGGAUCCUGAGUACGACGGAGCACGUGAAAUUCCGUCGGAAUCUGGGAGGAC
rnacentral:rRNA from 1 species